GAGUGGCGAACGGGUGAGGAACACGUAAGAAUCUGCCCCUCGGUCGGGGACAACUCUUGGAAACGAGAGCUAAUACCCGAUACGCUGUGGAGUGAAAGAAUUUCGCCGAGGGAUGAUCUUGCGUCUGAUUAGCUAGUUGGUGUGGUAACUGCACACCAAGGCGACGAUCAGUAGCUGGUCUGAGAGGAUGGACAGCCACAUUGGAACUGAGACACGGUCCAAACUCCUACGGGAGGCAGCAGUGGGGAAUUUUCCGCAAUGGACGAAAGUCUGACGGAGCGGCGCUGCGUGAAGGAUGACGGCCCGCGGGUUGUAAACUUCUUUUCUCGAAGAAGAAACAAAUGACGGUAUUCGAGGAAUAAGCAUCGGCUAACUCCGUGCCAGCAGCCGCGGUAAGACGGAGGAUGCAAGUGUUAUUCGGAAUGAUUGGGCGUAAAGAGUCUGUAGGCUGUAUAGAAAGUCUUUUGUUAAAUUCCUCGGCUCAACCGAGAUCAAGCAAAGGAAACUUCUAUACUUGAGGGAAGUAGAGGCACA
rnacentral:rRNA from 1 species